rnacentral:lncRNA from 1 species
CAACAAGAGUAAAUCUCGAAAUGUUGUCUCCUGGAAUGCCAUUGUCGCGAGCUAUGCUCAAAAUGGGCUUGAGAUGGAUGCAAUAGAACUUGUGAGAGAAAUGCAGGCUAAUGAAGAAAUCCCCAACUCUGUUACCUUUACAAACGUUCUUCCUGCCUGUGCACGAGUGGGGUUUCUUCGUGCAGGAAAAGAGAUUCAUGCUAGGUCAGUUAGAACAGGGUCUUCUACUGAUCUCUUUGUUUCAAAUGCUUUGAUAGACAUGUACGCCAAAUGUGGGUGCCUUAGUGUAGCACAAAAUGUUUUUGACAACUCUAUUAGAGAUGAAGUAUCAUAUAAUACUUUAAUCAUAGGUUAUUCUCAGUUAAGUGAUUGCUUGAAAGCAAUAACGUUAUUCACCGAAAUGGGGUUGAUAGGGAUGAAGCAUGAUAGUGUGUCCUAUAUGGGGGCUCUCUCAGCUUGUGCAAACAUUUCUGCCGCUAAACAAGGAAAGGAGAUUCAUGGUUUAGCCGUAAGAAAGCUGUUUCAUAUGCAUUUGUUUGUAGCCAACUCACUUCUCGACUUUUACACCAAAUGUGGAAGAAUUGAUCUUGCUCGAAAGGUUUUCGAUCAUAUUCCUAUCAAGGAUGUAGCCUCAUGGAAUACAAUGAUUUUAGGGUAUGGGAUGCUAGGUGAAUUUGAUACUGCAAUUAAUCUUUUUGAGAUCAUGAAAGAAGAUGGCAUCAAAUGUGAUUCAGUUUCUUAUAUUGCAGUAUUAUCUGCUUGUAGUCAUGGAGGGUUCGUGGAGAAAGGCAAACAGUAUUUUAACGAGAUCUAUGCUCUGGGUAUCGGACCAAACCAAACGCACUAUGCUUGUAUGGUUGAUAUUCUUGCUCGAGCUGGCCUAAUGGAAGAGGCAGUAAAGUUCAUAAAGAGCAUGCCACUGGAACCAGAUGCAAAUGUCUGGGGUUCUCUGCUUGGGGCAUGCCGACUCCAUGAAAAUAUCGAGUUGGGAUCCUGGGCUGCAGAGAAUUUACUCAAGCUAAAACCGGAGCAACCAGGAUAUUACAUACUCCAUUCAAACAUGUAUGCAAAAGCAGGGAGAUGGGAUGAGGCAGAUAAUGUCAGAAAACUAAUGAAAUCGAGGGGAGUGAAGAAAAAUCCGGGCUGUAGUUGGAUAUGAACUUGUAUAACAAAGUGGGUAUCACAUUUACCUUCAACAUAUUGCAAUGUAGCCAAGUAUAGAAUUGAUAUUCCUUAACUGGAUUAAGGGGUUGUUUGACUUAAUUUAAAAGAAGUAAAUUAUUGUUUCCGACCUGGGUGACGGCGAGGUGGUGGAUGGAUCACCUCCAAAACCUGCUAAGAAACGGAGAAGAGCAUCUGAGCUCGGUAGUGAGUUGGGAGCUCUGCAUGAAGCCCAAUAUUUCACUGGUGGUAAUGUUGGAAAAAUCCCUUUGCUCGUUUUGCUAAUCUAAAUUCAGGCUCGUCUUCUCUCAACAGGAGCUUGAUCAGGGAUAAAGGAAAAACAAAAUUAAUGGAUGACUUUGCGUUCAGUGAUAAUGGAGUUCUCUCAAGAGGCAAUAGAGCUCCUAGACGAAAAGAGGCUCCAAAAAUAUUCUCAGGUCUUCUCUAAUGACAUUAUAAACUUGGAUGCUCUGGUUGGUUGGUGAUGAAGUUUUUGCAAGCGAUAUGUCUUACCAUGCUUUGUUUGGUUCAUUUACAGGAGAUCUUAUCAAAACUUGCAGUGUCUAGCCUGGAAAAGACAAAAGAUCAUUAAAAUUAUUAGAUCAAUUAAAAUUAAAAUUAAAAUUAAGAGUUAUAUAUAUUCAGAUGAAUCGAGAAUAUAUAUUCAGACAAAAGAUCAUUAAAAUUAUUAGAUCAAUUAAAAUUAUCUUCGUAUCAAACNUUUUCGAUCAUAUUCCUAUCAAGGAUGUAGCCUCAUGGAAUACAAUGAUUUUAGGGUAUGGGAUGCUAGGUGAAUUUGAUACUGCAAUUAAUCUUUUUGAGAUCAUGAAAGAAGAUGGCAUCAAAUGUGAUUCAGUUUCUUAUAUUGCAGUAUUAUCUGCUUGUAGUCAUGGAGGGUUCGUGGAGAAAGGCAAACAGUAUUUUAACGAGAUCUAUGCUCUGGGUAUCGGACCAAACCAAACGCACUAUGCUUGUAUGGUUGAUAUUCUUGCUCGAGCUGGCCUAAUGGAAGAGGCAGUAAAGUUCAUAAAGAGCAUGCCACUGGAACCAGAUGCAAAUGUCUGGGGUUCUCUGCUUGGGGCAUGCCGACUCCAUGAAAAUAUCGAGUUGGGAUCCUGGGCUGCAGAGAAUUUACUCAAGCUAAAACCGGAGCAACCAGGAUAUUACAUACUCCAUUCAAACAUGUAUGCAAAAGCAGGGAGAUGGGAUGAGGCAGAUAAUGUCAGAAAACUAAUGAAAUCGAGGGGAGUGAAGAAAAAUCCGGGCUGUAGUUGGAUAUGAACUUGUAUAACAAAGUGGGUAUCACAUUUACCUUCAACAUAUUGCAAUGUAGCCAAGUAUAGAAUUGAUAUUCCUUAACUGGAUUAAGGGGUUGUUUGACUUAAUUUAAAAGAAGUAAAUUAUUGUUUCCGACCUGGGUGACGGCGAGGUGGUGGAUGGAUCACCUCCAAAACCUGCUAAGAAACGGAGAAGAGCAUCUGAGCUCGGUAGUGAGUUGGGAGCUCUGCAUGAAGCCCAAUAUUUCACUGGUGGUAAUGUUGGAAAAAUCCCUUUGCUCGUUUUGCUAAUCUAAAUUCAGGCUCGUCUUCUCUCAACAGGAGCUUGAUCAGGGAUAAAGGAAAAACAAAAUUAAUGGAUGACUUUGCGUUCAGUGAUAAUGGAGUUCUCUCAAGAGGCAAUAGAGCUCCUAGACGAAAAGAGGCUCCAAAAAUAUUCUCAGGUCUUCUCUAAUGACAUUAUAAACUUGGAUGCUCUGGUUGGUUGGUGAUGAAGUUUUUGCAAGCGAUAUGUCUUACCAUGCUUUGUUUGGUUCAUUUACAGGAGAUCUUAUCAAAACUUGCAGUGUCUAGCCUGGAAAAGACAAAAGAUCAUUAAAAUUAUUAGAUCAAUUAAAAUUAAAAUUAAAAUUAAGAGUUAUAUAUAUUCAGAUGAAUCGAGAAUAUAUAUUCAGACAAAAGAUCAUUAAAAUUAUUAGAUCAAUUAAAAUUAUCUUCGUAUCAAACGAGUAAACAAAAAAUUGAAAAUUAUUAUAAUUUGUUUUCCUAUUCAAACAAGUCAAGAAUUGCACUACUCAAAAAAGUUUAUAUUAUGAUUUUUUAUAUAUUAAUAAACUACUUGAGAAGCCGCGCGGCCCGCCGCAAGGCCUAUAAAAAUUAUAUUAAUAAUUUAAUAUUAAUAUUUGUAGAAUGCAAUAAUUUUAUGGCUCUCUAUAAAAAAAUAUAUUAAUGAUUCAAAAUUAAUAUUUUUGUUGGAUAAAAUAAAUUUUAUAUUAUAAAAAUCUUGAUGUAAUACAAUACAUAUAUAUAAAAUUGCAAAAUUGGACUAUAAUUCAUGGUGAAAAAAAUGAAAAUAAAUUUCUACACGUAAUCAACAAUUUAAAGCACGGCGAAUCUUAUUUUUUGUUGUGUGUUUGUUUUUACAUUGUCACCUUCCUCCAAUUUUUUUGGAUUGAUUGUGCACAAAAACAUCUAACUUAAAUCUGUGAGAUAACGGACUAUAACUAACCUUACUUGUAACAACCUUUAUUUUUUAAUGCAGUAUAAACAGCCUUCACUUAAAAAGUUGCGUGAACGGAGCAAACAGAUAAUGCAUGAAUAAUAUUUUCCUCUAUACUCCCUCUGUCCCUCUCAUUUCUUUACAGUUACUAUUUUGGGAUGUCCCUCUCAUUUCUUUACAUUACCAUAAAUAGUAAGUUUUUUCAAUCAUUACACCCACUAUCUUCCCCCACUAUCUCAUAUUUAACAAUAAAAACUACUAUUACACCCACUACUUUCCUCCACUAUCUCAAAUCUAUUAUUAAAUAUUGAUGGGUCCCACCAUUUUACCCACUUUUCAUUUAACUUUACUCAUUUUUCAUACAUUGUCUUGGUCUCUGUGUCCCCCUCCAAUGUAAACAACUGAGGGGGACGGAGAGAGUACAAACUAAAUCAUAUAAAAAUUAACAACAACAAACAUGUCCGAUUAACAAAACAAAUAUUAUAAAAGAAUAACCAACAAACAUACAUCACUAAUAGUUAAUUUAUUGACAUCAUCCAUCAAUAUCAUGUCAAGACUAUAUUCUCCUCCCGUGUUACAUAGCGGUCUAUAACUAACUUCGCUUGCAACAACCUUUAUUUUUUUUAAUACCGUAUAAACAGCCUUCACUUAUCGUUGUAGAAGAACGACACCACCGAAUUAGAAAUUGAGCAAGAGAACUAUCGUCAGAGAGAGGUACGGUUGUGGUAUUGAGAGAGAGAAGAGGUUGUGUUUAGAUGAUCCAAAACCUACAACCUAUAGCGACAUUUAUAGGUGCAGAGAGACUUGUGUGCUACUUUUUCCUAUAAUUAAAUAAUUUGAAAUAAAAUCAAAUUAAAACUUUCAAGUUGCUAUGUUCCAUAAAUAAUCUGAAACAAAAUCAGAUUCUAAAACUUGCUUCUAAUAUAUUCUGAAAUUUGCUUCUAAUAUAUCCGAAACUAAACAGCGUUCAAUUUAAAGUUGCUUGAACGGAGCAAACAGAUAAUGCAUGAAUAAUUAUUUUCCCGUAUACAAAGUAUAUCAUAUAAAAAUUAACAACAACAAACAUGUCCGAAGAACAAAAAAAUAUUAUAAAAUAAUAACCAACAAACAUAUAUCAUUAACAGUUAAUUUAUUAAUAUUAUCCAUCAAUAUUAUGUCAGGACUAUAUUUUUUUCCCGUGUUUGGAUUUGUUGACUUCAACAUCGCGGUCUAUAACUACCUCUGCUUGCAAUAACCUUUAUUUUUUCAAUACUGUAUAAACAGCUUUCAUUUAUCGUUGCACACCACUAAGUUUGAAAUCGAGCAAGAGAACUAUCACCAGAGAUAGGUAGGGUUGUGGUAUUGAGAGAGAGGAAGUUGCCAUCCAAAACCCUACAAUCUACAGGGGUAUUUAUAGGUGCAGAGAGACUUGUGUGCUACUCUUUCCCAUAAUUAGAUAAUCUGAAACAAAAUCAGAUUAAAACUUUCAAGUUACUAUAUUCCAUAAAUAAUCUGAAAACAAAAUCAGACUCUGAAACUUGCUUCUAAUAUACUCGAAACUAAAAAAAGAUGGUUCUUAUUUUUGAUUUUUUUUCAUCUAAAAAAUCCAAAAAAUUAGAAAAAUAGAACAGAGCGAUGUGAGAGGCGACUACACGUUAUGAAUGAAAUUACAAGAUAUUUUAUUAUUCAAAUAAGUUAAUAAUGAAAUUACAAGUGUUUAAAAAUAAUUUUAAUAAAAAAUAAUGUCACAAUUUGUCAUUAUUUGACUAGUUAAAAACAAAAUUAUAAGCUCUCUUAAUAUCCAAAGAGUCAGGAAUUAGCGUAUAAGUUGUUAUAAAUUUACACAAAUUAUUUAAAAAAAGAAAUAAAUUAUUCAAAGUUUUUUUUAUAAAAUUGAGAUGUUCAUAACAACUGAUAAUUGUCAAUAAUUUAUAUUGACAUAACAAAUAUUUCGAAUGAGUAUGAUGAAAUUUGCACAUAAUAAAUUUACUCCCUCCAUCUUCGUGAAUUAUAUAUAUCGAAGUAUGAUGAGGUGUGCAUAUAAAAAUUUACUUCUUCCAUCUUCGUGAAUUAUAUAUAUACUGGAGGAUGAGAACGUGAUGCGCAUUUUAUUUUUCCAACAAAAUAUAAUUUUAUAUUUAAUUUUUUUAUAUUCAAAAAAUAAAUUAUAAAAAUGAAUUUUAAGAUGGUACAAUAUAGGCGAUGAAAUGUGAAAAUGGAGCGAGUACAAAACACCAAUGGCAAGGGGCUAUAGACCUGGAAGCAAAUUUUAAAAAACCACUUAUAUAUUUCGAAUUUUUUUAAAAACUUUUAUAAAUUGCAAAAUUUAAAAUGAUAAAAAAUUAUAUAAAAAAAAAUUAAAAGGGCACGUGCCUUCUUCCUAAAUCGGCCCGGCUACAAACCACUCCUGGACUUAACUCCGGUGCUCACUUGUUUCUGUAUCAUGCUCGCUCUCUCUUGCCUUCAAAACCUUUUUAAAAUCAAAACCAAACACCUUUCUCACUUUCACACUCAACCCUAUUUCGUCUCAUUAAACAUUCUCCCAAUCUGCUCUUCCACACUUUCACUUGCACAAACAAAACAAGCCCACGCUUUCGCUCUUCUCAGCGGCUUACUUCCCCACAGUGUAUCUGUUUCUGCAUCGCUCAUUCUCCAGUAUGCAAAAUUCAACAGCCCCCGAGCUUUCAAGCUUUUGUUUGAUCAAACUGUGGCUCAUUGUCGAACGGCAUGCUUGGGGAUUUUGUUUUGGUGAGUGAGAUUCAUUGUGAAAUUAUGAAGGUGGGUCUUGAUCGGGAUUUGAUGGUUGGAACUGCUUUGGUUGCUGCUUAUGGAAAAUGUGGUGAUAUGGAUUGUUUGAUGCGAGUGUUUGAUGGAAUGGUUGAAAGGAAUGUUGUUUCUUGGAAUGCGGUUAUUACUAGCUUUAAGUAUGGAGGACAUGGUAGAGACGCUUUGGAUAUCUUUAGGUUGAUGAUUAGCGACGGUGUGAAACCAGAUGGCGUCACAAUAUCUAGUAUGCUACCUGUGUUGGUUGAGUUGAACUGUUUUGCUGCAGGGAAAGAAGUACACUGUUAUAGUUUGAAACUGAGUUUAAAUUCAGAUAUAUCCGUUUCCACUUCUUUAAUAGAUAUGUAUGGCAAAUCUGGGCAUCCAGUUAAGGCAUAUCACGUGUUUAACAAAAGUAAAUCUCGAAAUGUUGUCUCCUGGAAUGCCAUUGUCGCGAGCUAUGCUCAAAAUGGGCUUGAGAUGGAGGCAAUAGAACUUGUGAGAGAAAUGCAGGCUAAUGAAGAAAUGCCCAACUCUGUUACCUUUACAAACGUUCUUCCUGCCUGUGCACGAGUGGGGUUUCUUCGUGCAGGAAAAGAGAUUCAUGCUAG